rnacentral:rRNA from 1 species
UACGGAGGGUGCAAACGUUGCUCGGAAUUAUUGGGCGUAAAGCGAGCGUAGGCGGUUUGGAAAGUUGGAUGUGAAAGCCCUUGGCUUAACCAAGGAAGUGCAUUCAAAACUAUCAAACUUGAGUACUGAAGAGGGUGACGGAAUUCCCGGUGUAGAGGUGAAAUUCGUAGAUAUCGGGAGGAACACCAGUGGCGAAGGCGGUCACCUGGGCAGAUACUGACGCUGAGGCUCGAAAGCGUGGGGAGCAAACAGG